rnacentral:rRNA from 1 species
CAGCAGUAAGGAAUAUUGCACAAUGGGGGAACCCCUGAGGCAAAAACCCCGCGAGGGCGAAGAAGUUUUUGGGGUUGUAAAGCCCUUCUGGGGGGGAAGAGAGAGGACGGUACCCCAGGAAGAAGUCUCGGCUAACUACGUG